UACGUAGGGGGCAAGCGUUGUCCGGAUUUAUUGGGCGUAAAGAGCGUGUAGGCGGCCAUGUAGGUCCGUUGUGAAAACUCGAGGCUCAACCUCGAGACGCCGAUGGAAACCAUGUGGCUAGAGUCCGGAAGAGGAGAGUGGAAUUCCUGGUGUAGCGGUGAAAUGCGCAGAUAUCGGGAGGAACACCGGUGGCGAAGGCGGUUCUCUGGGCCGGCACUGACGCUGAGGAGCGAAAGCGUGGGGAGCGAACAGG
rnacentral:rRNA from 1 species